UACGAAGGGGGCUAGCGUUGUUCGGAAUUACUGGGCGUAAAGCGCGCGCAGGCGGCUAUCCAAGUCAGUGGUGAAAGCCCGGAGCUCAACUCCGGAACUGCCAUUGAAACUGUUUAGCUUGAGGACGAGAGAGGUGAGUGGAAUUCCCAGUGUAGAGGUGAAAUUCGUAGAUAUUGGGAAGAACACCCGUGGCGAAGGCGGCCGGCUGGGCCGGAUCCGACGCGUGAGGCGCGAAAGCGUGGGGAGCAAACAGG
rnacentral:rRNA from 1 species